rnacentral:rRNA from 1 species
GACGAACGCUGGCGGCGCGCUUAACACAUGCAAGUCGAACGGAAAGGCCCUGCUUUUGUGGGGUGCUCGAGUGGCGAACGGGUGAGUAACACGUGAGUAACCUGCCCUUGACUUUGGGAUAACUUCAGGAAACUGGGGCUAAUACCGGAUAGGAGCUCCUGCUGCAUGGUGGGGGUUGGAAAGUUUCGGCGGUUGGGGAUGGACUUGCGGCUUAUCAGCUUGUUGGUGGGGUAGUGGCUUACCAAGGCUGUGACGGGUAGCCGGCCUGAGAGGGUGACCGGCCACAUGGGGACUGAUACUCGGCCCAGACGCCGUCGGGAGGCAGCAGUGGUGAAUAUAGCACAAUUGGCGGAAGCCUGAGUCAGCGACGCCGCGUGCGGGAUUGCGACCUUCGGUUUGUAACCCGCAUGCGCCUUUGACGGAGCGGGAGUGACGGUAAUGGGAAAAGAAGCACCGGCUAACUACGUG